AGCCCCCGCCCCCGCGCCCGCCUCCCUGAGCCGCGCCCGCCGGCAAACGCGGCUCGGAGCCGGAGCGGACUGCCGGGUGCGCACGCCCGGGCACCCGCUCGCCCUGCUGCCUCCCUUGGUCCUGGCCCGGGCCCCGGCCUCUCCCCGGGGAGCAGGGCCCGCAGUCCCCUUGCUCCGCCUCGGCGGGGAGCAAGGCAGGGCUGUUCCCCCGGGACGCGCCUCGAGAGCCUUUCAGGGGGGCAGGCCGUGCGCGCUCGGGGCCGCGCAGCCGGGAGCCGCAGGCUGCCAACGGGAAGCCCCAGGGUUCAGACAUCCUGCCCUGGUCCUGGGGUCUUUGCCAGGGCAGAAGGGCGCUACUGUCCUCCUGCAGUCAGAAAACACGGAGUGAAAAGAGCUGGUUUCCUGCUUUACCCAAGGCCUCUGGAACAGACUGCUGAUCCAGCACCAGGUACUUCAUCUGGAAAUAGUCUCAUCAUGCGCAACACUACUGUGGCAGUGGGAAAAGGAAGAGAUCUUCUCAUAGCUACAAUACAACAUACUGGCAUAUGCAAAAAGUGUUAUCUUCCCCCCUACCUCCCAGUCAGCUCCACAACUUACUUCUGCAGAGCUGUUUGUUUCUCCUCUAUUAUCAGCUUCUGAAUAGAUAGGCCUCCCACAGAGACAAGAUCUGCAACCUUUCAAGAUUGCACAGCAUGAAAGGCCAUGACUAUUUUUUUUCCCUGAAUGGAGAUUUUUUUUUUAUAGAUAAGUCCUGAAUGAUAAGAAAAAUAUCAUUAACAUAAACAAUUACAGGAUUUGUCUUUUGUGGACUCUGCUGCCGCCAGAAUCCCCUAAAAUACAGCCUUGGAUAUCUUUUGGGCUACAUUACUCUUUAUAAGCCAUGCAGUUAAGCACAAAUAAAAACAGCUAUUUGUUACAGUUUUGAUCUCUUACAUUGAAUUAAUCUUGCAGAUCUGAAUUAGGGUCCACUGCUGCAUAUCUAGCAUACCUCUAUCUCUGAUUUCAGUCAACAGACAAAAGAAGAGGUAUAGAGAAGAGACUAAACCAGGGGUGAGCAAAAUGAGGCCCAAGGGCCAGAUGCAGCCUGCCAGGCCCUUAUAUCCGGCCCGCAGGGCCCCUAAAAAAUGUAGAAAAUUAAUAUUAAUCUGCCCUGGGCUGCCUGUCAUGCAGCCCUCAAUGGCUUUCCAAAACUCAGUAAGUGGCCCUCUGCCCAAAAUAAUUGCUUGCCCCUGGACUAAACUCAAAAGACAAGACAAGGUGUAAGUGAAAUUUAAAUCCCCCAGUUCUGGCUAGGAGAACGAUUCCUCCACCAAGAUGCUGCAGUAGAGGCGACCCCAAGGCUCCCACCAAAGAACCAUCUCAUCAGUCAUGGUGUAGGUAGCAUGCUAGUGUAGCAGGCUUACCUUUUGGGGGCUUGGGUUGAGUCCCAGGAUCAAGGGUCUGCUGUUUGAUUAGUGGAGCCCGCCCACCAAUCCGGAGGCAGCACAAGGGAAGCAAUGCCCCGCCCUUUUCCAAAGGGAGGGGGAAAGGAGCAGCUGGACCUGAAUCAGAACUGCGCCAGCCAGGUCCGGAGAACUUCGGGGGUGGAGCCCCUAAAGGUUAAAAAAGGGGAGUGUGCUCAGCACAUGGGGGAGACACGACUUGGGACAGUGAGGAGAGAGGAGCUCCAGAGAUGGCCAUCUUUGGGACCCUGCUUAAGUUUCAGCGAUGCGCGAAUCAGCGCACAGGGAUCACGCUCUACGAGUCACUUGAGGCAGCUUGAGCCUGUGAACCCAGCAAGUGGCUGGGCAGCUGGUGUGCAGAUCAGCACACAGAGAGCUGGCCCUGGGAGCAGCACAUGGCUGCUCAGGCCUCACCUAGUGCGUGGAUCAGCACAUGGAGAACUGCCUUGGAAGCAGCUUGCAGAUGCUCACAUUAGCCCUGGCCCUAGGCUGAGUGACUAGAGCCCUGCAGUGCAGCUCUGCCUUUAACGAAAAGAGCCCCAGUGCCCAGAGCAGGGCCGGUGAAAGAGGAGAACCCCUGGUGUGACACCAGGGAGUCAGAGCAUGUAAGGGUUCAGCUUCCAUGACAGCGAGCCCUGGCUGCCCAGUGCAGGGUGCCAGGCCAUCGAGGAGAGCCGAAGGCAUUGCUGGGGAGAUUGGCCACCAUGGGAUGAACCUUGACUUCUCCAGAGAGGAAGCAUGAGUUACUGGGGAAGCGGGCCCCACAGGGGAGGCUGACACAGGUGAGGAGGGUCUGCCGCCUCCACCCUCCAUUGUGGGAGGGACAUGUCCACGUCCCAGGGCCCUAAAGGGGAUGGGCUUCAGGGAAACCCCUCAGGGAAGUGCUGAGCGCACUCCCUAUUUUGAGGUUGUCGCGUUAAGGGCUAGAUAGCUAGGGGUAUUCUUUAAGGGGGUUUAUAUAUGGUUUGUGUGUUCUAUUGGUAUUGUUAUUUGUGAAGGUUUAAAGAAAUAUUAUUGUUAAUUUAAUUGGGUUACAUAGGUUAAUAUCCCUGUGUGUUAAUUGUGUUGUAUAGGUUGUAAGUUAUUUGGUUCAUAUUUGGUAUUAUAUGUGAAUUGUGGAAUAUUAUAUAUAGUAUUAUAUGUUAAGCUUUGUAAAUAUUCUGUGUUUUAUAUUAAGCGUUGGUAUUGAUUCUUGGUAUAAAUUGUGCAUAGUUAAGUACUUGGUUUCAGCCUAGCUCUAUAGAGAGGGGAGGAAGCUGCUGUAGUAGCUGACUCCUUCCUCAGCACCCUGCCUGACCACCACCACUGUCAUUGGAGGACAGGGCACACCCCCCUGGGUAUACCCAGGCUGCAGUAGGAACAGUGCUGUGGUUCACAGGACAGCACACGCUGUAAUUUAAGCAGCUCUGGGGAACUUUCUAACUUGUGCUGUGGUAGUGCUCCAUCCUUUAGAGCAAUCAAGAAUAGGAAAGGGUCAAAUGUGGCUUAAGUUUCUUUGGUCUGUACCUGUGAAAUGCAACAAAAUCUCACCUUUAGAGUCCGUUCUCAGUAAGGACACGAACUUUCUAUCAGCCAGUGCCCAAGCCACUCACUCUUGCCCUGCAUUUCACUUGUAAAACAGAGGUAAUACUGAUUGGAUGCAUAUUAACACAAUGCAAUAAAGUCCAGCACAUAUUGCA